AUUGAACGCUGGCGGAAUGCUUUACACAUGCAAGUCGAACGGCAGCACGGACUUCGGUCUGGUGGCGAGUGGCGAACGGGUGAGUAAUGUAUCGGAACGUGCCCAGUCGUGGGGGAUAACGUAGUGAAAAUUACGCUAAUACCGCAUACGAUCUAUGGAUGAAAGCGGGGGAUCGCAAGACCCUGCGCGAUUGGAGCGGCCGAUAUCAGAUUAGGUAGGUGGUGGGGUAAAGGCCCACCAAGCCAACGAUCUGUAGCUGGUCUGAGAGGACGACCAGCCACACUGGAACUGAGACACGGUCCAGACUCCUACGGGAGGCAGCAGUGGGGAAUUUUGGACAAUGGGCGAAAGCCUGAUCCAGCCAUCCGCGUGCAGGAUGAAGGCCCUCGGGUUGUAAACUGCUUUUGUACAGAACGAAAAGGUUUCUACUAAUACUAGGAGCUCAUGACGGUACUGUAAGAAUAAGCACCGGCUAACUACGUGCCAGCCGCCGCGGUAA
rnacentral:rRNA from 1 species